UACGAAGGGGGCUAGCGUUGUUCGGAAUUACUGGGCGUAAAGCGCACGUAGGCGGAUCGAUCAGUCAGGGGUGAAAUCCCAGAGCUCAACUCUGGAACUGCCUUUGAUACUGGGGAUCUCGAGUCCGGAAGAGGUUGGUGGAACUCCGAGUGUAGAGGUGAAAUUCGUAGAUAUUCGGAAGAACACCAGUGGCGAAGGCGGCCAACUGGUCCGGCACUGACGCUGAGGUGCGAAAGCGUGGGGAGCAAACAGG
rnacentral:rRNA from 1 species